GAAGGCUGGGGGUUAUCUGGGUAGCGAGGAAGGAAGCCAAUAAUCUGGUGAGCAGCUCCACCUGCCUGAGGCUUGAAAAUGAACUUGGGCAGAGGGAAAGCAGCUUGGGGUCAGCUCUGGGGUUGGUGGUUCUAUUGGGAUACAGCCAGGGAUGCUCUAGGGUGAGGGCAGCAGAAUGAGGCUGUACUUAUCUUGAGGGUGCGAGGUGGAUUCUGGGGUUUGUUCUGCUUCCCACCAGCUGGUUUUGCAGCCUUGUUCUGUGGUGGGUUGCUGCUGGUGGUGGGGAGGAGAGCUGGAGGAGUGCCAGGAGGGUCUUGUGGGGCAGCAGUGGGAAAGCAGCCCCCAAAGAGCCAUCAGAUGCCUGUUUCUAAUAGCACACCCCAGGAAGGCUGUGAGGUUUAAAGGCCAUUGGGGUGAAUGAAGGAGCACCUAAGAACUCCCAUGGCAUAACAACUUGCCCAAGGGACCGUGUGGUGUUGCUGAGUAUUUUCCCUUUCCUUUUUUUCUUUUUUAAACCCCGCGGAAAGUAAGAUUUGCAGGAUUUGCUUGCACCUCUCAACAUCCAGGAGCACCCCUGGUCUGAGGCUUAUCCCUGCUGGAUGAUCCAUGGCAGGUCUUAAAACUUGAGUUUAGAAGAUAAGAGGGAGAGAACUGGAUGACUGAGAGCAAAGAUGCUGAUGCUUCGCCUGAUGGGUCUUCUUCCAUCACUUCUGCACGAGGCACUGGAUGAAGCUGAUGGUGUGCGAUGUGGCAGGUCAUUGGCUCCAUCUGCAGUGGUGGGGAGUUCUGACCAAAUUUUGGGUCGUGGGAGCCCUCUGCUGAGCCUGUUGCAUCUGAAGGCAGCAGCCCUCUCCUCCUGGAGAGGCACGAAUUCCCCUUUCAGGGGGGAUAAAGCCAUGCAAAGUGCCAGCAGCACUCAGCACUGCGUGAAUCCUUCCCUAAAAAAGAGAGCAAAGAGGAAAACCAUCCAAACUCAAGAGGCCAAGGCAGGGAGAGGUUCCAAAACUUUCCAAGAAUGA
rnacentral:lncRNA from 1 species